rnacentral:rRNA from 1 species
UACGGAGGGUGCAAGCGUUAUCCGGAUUUACUGGGUUUAAAGGGUGUGUAGGCGGACUUUUAAGUCCGUGGUGAAAUCUCCGGGCUCAACCCGGAAACUGCCAUGGAUACUAUUGGUCUUGAAUAUUGUUGAGGUGGGCGGAACGGUAGUACAUGUGCGGUGAAAUGCAUAGAUAUGACCCGGAACACCGAUUGCGAAGGCAGCCCACUAAGCAAUGAUUGACGCUGAGGCACGAAAGCGUGGGGAUCAAACAGG